rnacentral:piRNA from 1 species
UACAUACACACAUCCUCAGGGCACCCU